CAAAUACCCUACUUUUAAUUGUAAAGGUUAGAAAACUGAGUAAAUAAGGUUUGGACUGUCGUAAAUUUAGUCAGGUCUCUUAUACAUAGGAUAACUGAUUGAUCCUCGACAUACAUAAACUUAACUUGGUCUGUAUUAGUAUCCAAAAUACACUGACAGUCCAUAGUCCAUACAGGGUUGUAUUUUUCAGAUAACCUUCAUGUAUUUUACUAGUUAAAAUAUCACAUGGGAGAGAUUCUCAUUUUACAUAUUUUUUAACACAACAUAAAUAGAUAUACAAACUACGAUCAUUAUAGAACCUCUCUGUGGAGAUGGACAUCCUUCUCCCCGAAUCUCCGUCACCAUACAACCACUACUGCUGCAGGUCAGUGGGUCACAGACCAUAUGAAAUCCCCAUCCCUAUGCUACAUUAAUAAAUUAAAAUGUGGCAACCUUACACUACAAGGCUCAAGCUACAACCAUCUCAGGCCUGUUCGAAACUUAGAAUCAGCAGAGCAUCAUCAGCAGAAAUCACCAACCCAGGAACUCCAAAGCAGAUACAAAGCAUCAUCAAACCAAGCCAUCCCACUCCUACAUAAUUUUACGAACAUUCUUAAGCAGCAACUAGAUUAUACAGUGUUUAUUUUCAGCCCAUAAAAAAAAGGUGACUGCCUGAGGGGGCCAAUAUAGAUGUAUAAAUAAAUGGUGCAACUAGUAUAAAAAAAGGAUUCAAGUGUUUGUUUACACCGAUGACUCUAAUCAUAAGAGGGCCACAAGAGGACCACCUUUGAGAUACCAGCAAUAAGAAGUUAAAGGUGUUUGGUUAGGACUUGGGAAGUUGGGAGUUAUUAUAUUCAGCAUUUUCUGAUUUUGAGUUGCAAUCAAAAGUUUUGUUCCAGCACAAAUGUCAUGCUUAGCGCUUGUUCUGAACACUGAGUUCACAUGAGUGAAUCAGCUUUCAAUGCAAACAAACACAGGAAAACACACGUAUCCAUGAGUGAGUCUAAUCGUGGAGGGAAUCAGAUACGAUCCACACAGAAAAUCAAUAAAAAAAUGUUCCUUUUAUGGACCAAGUGAAGUAACAGCAAAAGCCAAGGAUUUGGAUUACCCUUUGUUCAAUUGUAAAAUUAGGCAUGCCCCCAUUCGAGAAAAUAUUAGAUAUAUCCCCAUUUUGUGAAGUGGCACCAUCUGAGCCAUCCAUCAUAUGGCUACAAUUAUCUUCACCUUGCUUGAAAUGUGGGGUAUGUCUACUUUUUUUUCAAAUUGGGGUAUGUCUAUUUUUUUCAAAUUGGAGCAAGUCCAAAUUUAGAGUAAUAGCGGUCUAAGCAAUUGACAACAACUGUUUAGCCACUAUGUAGUGUGUUGCUAUAUGAACACAGUGGCAAAACACAUUUUAAAGUCGGACAAGUUAUUGUAAAUGUACCAAAACCCCUUUUCUAAAAGUAGGUUAUAUAGAUUUUCCCUAUUAACCCAGGUUUGGUCCAUGAAAGAUGUAUAACUCUAUCAAAUUAGGCUUUGUAAUCCAAUAAACCAUAUCCAACCAUGCCAGCAAAUAAAUACUCUGACAAAUUUAGUAAAGUCAAUUGAAAUCGAAAACACCAUAAUGCAUAUCCAACAUUCAACAUGAGUCUUUUAAGAGAUAAACUUUGCUUUCUAGAAAAUGAUGUCAUGUUUUCACUGUGUCCAAAUGAAGUCUGAAAAAUAGCAGCAUAUAAAUAAGUAUCUGUGUGUGUGAGCGUAUGUGAUCAAACUAUCAAAGCAUCAAAAAAAUGCAGAAAUAUGCAUUGAGGACUUGCAAACCCAUUCGUUGAGGUGUAAAAUGAACAGAGUUUAAAAUGACUUUCUUUAGCAAAAGAAUCCAUUUAGAUUGGAUUUGGCACAUGACCAAUUCUUUCCAUAGCUUACAAGUGAUAUACUAUGUAAUCAGGUACCUAUUGUUUUGUGCGCAUGCAAAGAGGGCACUAAGAAAGAAAGUUGUAUUUUAUAGUACUAAGAUUGUCAGGGGUGAUAUAACUGAUUUGUGCCCAUUCAUACUUAUGACUUUGAAAUCCAUGAAUGUGCUUAAUUCAAAUGGGAGACACUGUGUAUAAUAUACUUUUUGAGAUUUUAAGAAUGACUUGAAAAGGAAAAUAUAAAUCAUACAACAUGUAAGUAGAUGGAUAAAAAGAUAGGUAUAAAUGUAAGUACCUGUAAAUAUAAAGAUAUUCAGUUCCAGACAGCCCAAACAAAUUUGAACCAAUACCCCAACAAAGAUGCCGGCCUCAUUAUCUCCACUUGCACACAAAGGUUAAAGGGUAACUAUUCACGGUAACACUUCAUGCACAUAGCAUGGUUGUAAUUGGGCUAUCCAUUUUACUAUUCAUCUCCAUGCAAAUUCUACAAUCUUCUUCUUGUUCAAUAUCGAUAUCUGAAAACUGCUUGUACCUUUCAGAACACACUGCCUGUACCUUUCUGUUUUUGUUCACCAGAGAGCAUAAGAGACCAACUGUAGAUUUAAAACUUUAGUUUGCAUAGCAAAUGAAAUCACUAAAAACACACUCAUAAUGAACCUUGUAUGCAAGAUUUAUCAAAGCUAUGCAAAGCAGCCAGUACCAGAGCAUAUAACUGAAGUACUAACAUCAAUUCAUCACAAUAGCUCUUGUUCAUUCCUAAACCACCUCAAAAUAACCUACAAACAUUUAAAAAUCACAAUUCAAUUCGAAUUUGUGUAUAUAUACCUUGUUGUACAUAUUCAAGUUAGGAAUCAGAGUUAAUAUUUUGUGUAUAUAUACCUUGUUGUACAUCAAAACCAUUAUUUCAAAGAACCUUGAAUCGAAGAGAAACCAUGUAUAAAUCGCCAUCUAACCAUUGAACCUGUUUUUCAAGUUGUCGUCGUCGGUUAACCUGUUUUCAAAACUGAAAAUGGUGUCAAAUUGAGCUUUUGUAUGAAGAGAUAGAGGAGGAGAUUUAUUCUAUUUAGUUGAACACACGGCAAAAUGAUCCAUCUAAAUAUCCCCACUAAACCUUUAAAAAAAGACUUAUUAUCUGUAGGUAAUUGGAUUGUAAGUACCAUUUUAUAUCAAGAAAAUAAAAUCUGGAAUAAAUCCAACUUCUAAAAACAACUAUCACAACAUAGAAAAUUAAGGUCAUCAACAAAACCAUUAUUCACAGAUCCAUCCACAUAAAACCCUUUGAACCCAUUUUCAAUCAAACAAAAACUCAUCAAACCCAUAUCUCAGAUCAUCAAAUGAAACUCAAAUUCAGCAAAAUGAAACAGAAAAUCUUCUAAGAGAACAUAGAACAAAACAAAUUUAGUCCUUUUACAAACAGAUAGAAAGAGAGGAUAAGAGAAAUCUUACAGAUAAUCAUUUUAACAGAAGUCUGGGGGAGGAAUGAAAUGACAAAAUCUCUGAGUCCCUUUUCCUGCGAAUUUCACAAACGAAUAUCAAUUAAUACAACGAAGGUCCCCCUAAAAAAAACAUGAUUUAAAGUAAACUGAAUAUUAACCCAAACCUAAUAAAAACAUCAUGAUCAGAAACUCUGAUGAAUUCCAAAACCCGUUUAGAAAUAAAAAGUGAACGAAUUUGGAGUGAGAUUAAAAACAUCAUGAUUAGAAGGAUCGGCAAAAGCGCAAACCCUUUUAGAAUAAAUAAAAUUAAACAAAUUUGGAGUGAAAUUAAGUUGAUCUUAGUAUUGGGCAUGAAUCUAAGUUUAUAAUUAUUAAUAAAAAAAAAUUAUGUAGCACCAAUGCUUUUGCCCUGUGCCUAAGGAAGGUGGUCUAGACACAUGCCGCUACUGGGGGUUGAGCAACAAUUUG
rnacentral:lncRNA from 1 species